GCCUGGAGGUUGGGGGAAAGGGGAUGAGGCAGCUCUUCUCUUAGGAACAGCUGGCUGCCGAAAAACCCAAGAUCUGGAUCUUUAGGGUCUGUGAUAGUCCCUCCUACCCUGUCCCGACAUCAAGAUCCACUCAAGGGCAUUCAAUACCUCCCUGCUGACUGCUGGCUGCCGAGGGACCCUCUCACUAGAUUAAGCCCUACUGGAUGGCACUUAGGACCUGUGCCAACAACCUUUCCUACAAAAAUCCGUGUGUCCUAUGUCUCAUAUCUGAGAAAGUUGUUAAUAAAUUCAGUGACUAAUUUAAACUAGGGUGUUGACAGCUUCUAUCGGAACACUUAAGAAAAAGAA